UUCUGGUUGAUCCCGCCGGACCCUACUGCUAUCGGGAUGGGACUAAGACAUGCUAGUCGUGCGCUUCUAAGCCAUGGUGGAGGCGCGGCGCACAGCUCAGUAACACGUGGUUAACCUGCCCUUGGGACGGAAACACCCCCGGGAAAACUGGGGGCUAAUUUCCGAUAGGUGAAGACUCCUGGAAUGGAUCUUCGCCUAAAGGGCGCUUAGGCCAUGCUUCUAGGCGCUGCCCAAGGAUGGGACCGCGGCCGAUCAGGUUGUUGAUGAGGUAAUGGCUCACCAAGCCUUUAACCGGUUCGGGCCGUGGGAGCGGGAGCCCGGAGAUGGGCACUGAGACAAGGGCCCAGGGUCCUACGGGGCGCAGCAGUCGCGAAAACUCCGCAAUACGCGAAGGCGUGACGGGGCUAUCCCGAGUGCCCGUCGCGCUGAGGAUGGCUUUUCCCCAGUGUAGAUAGCUGGGGGAAAUAAGGAGAGGGCAAGUCUGGGUGUCAGCCCGCCGCGGUAAUACCAGCUCUCCGAGUGGUGGGGACGUUUAUUGGGCCUGAAGCAUCCGUAGCCAGCUGAGCAAGUCCCCAGUUAAAUCCAGCGAUUUAAUCGUUGGACUGCUGGGGAUACUGUCCGGCUUGGGGGUGGGAGAGGCCGACGGUAUUCCCGGGGUAGGGGUGAAAUCCUAUAAUCCCGGGAGGACCACCAGUGGCGAAGGCUGUUGGCUAAAACAUGCCCGACGGUGAGGGAUGAAAGCUGGGGGAGCGAACCGGAUUAGAUACCCGGGUAGUCCCAGCUGUAAACGAUGCAGGCUAGGUGUUAGGGCGGCCACGUGCCGCUCUAGUGCCGCAGGGAAGCUGUUAAGCCUGCCGCCUGGGGAGUACGGCCGCAAGGCUGAAACUUAAAGGAAUUGGCGGGGGAGCAC
rnacentral:rRNA from 1 species